UACGAAGGUGGCAGGCGUUGUUCGGAUUUACUGGGCGUACAGGGAGCGUAGGCGGUUGGAUAAGCCCUCCGUGAAAUCUCCAGGCUUAACCUGGAAAGUGCAGAGGGGACUGUUCAGCUAGAGGAUGGGAGAGGAGCGCGGAAUUCCCGGUGUAGCGGUGAAAUGCGUAGAGAUCGGGAGGAAGGCCGGUGGCGAAGGCGGCGCUCUGGAACAUUUCUGACGCUGAGGCUCGAAAGCGUGGGGAGCAAACAGG
rnacentral:rRNA from 1 species